AUUGAACGCUGGCGGCAGGCCUAACACAUGCAAGUCGAGCGAGCGGCGGACGGGUGAGUAAUGUCUGGGAAACUGCCUGCUGGAGGGGGAUAACUACUGGAAACGGUAGCUAAUACCGCAUACCAUCAGAUGUGCCCAGAUGGGAUUAGCUAGUAGGUGGGGUAACGGCUCACCUAGGCGACGAUCCCUAGCUGUUCGGAGAGGAUGACCAGCCAAACUGGAACUGAGACACGGUCCAGACGCCUACGGGGGGCAGCAGUGGGAAAUAUUGGACAAUGGGCGCAGGCCUGAUGCAGACAUGCGGCGUGUGGGAAGAGGGCCUUCGGGUUUUAAAGCACUUUCAUCGGGGAGGCGUUACCCGCAGAAGAAGCACUGGCUAACUCCGUGCCAGCAGCCGCGGUAAUUC
rnacentral:rRNA from 1 species